rnacentral:rRNA from 1 species
UACGUAGGGCGCAAGGCGUUGUCCGGAAUUAUUGGGCGUAAAGAGCUCGUAGGCGGUCUGUUACGUCCGCUGUGAAAACCCCAGGGCUUAACCCUGGGCUUGCAGUGGAUACGGGCAGACUAGAGGCAGGUAGGGGAGAAUGGAAUUCCCGGUGUAGCGGUGAAAUGCGCAGAUAUCGGGAGGAACACCGGUGGCGAAGGCGGUUCUCUGGGCCUGACCUGACGCUGAGGAGCGAAAGCGUGGGGAGCGAACAGG